rnacentral:rRNA from 1 species
UACGUAGGGUGCAAGCGUUGUCCGGAAUUAUUGGGCGUAAAGAGCUCGUAGGCGGUCUGUUACGUCGACUGUGAAAACCCGAGGCUCAACCUCGGGCCUGCAGUCGAUACGGGCAGACUAGAGUUCGGUAGGGGAGACUGGAAUUCCUGGUGUAGCGGUGAAAUGCGCAGAUAUCAGGAGGAACACCGGUGGCGAAGGCGGGUCUCUGGGCAGUAACUGACGCUGAGAAACGAAAGCGUGGGUAGCAAACAGG